GCAAUUAAACAGACUCAGGUAACUGUUCAGAAAAUUGGAAAGGAAAUUGAAGAAAAACUAAGACUCACAUCUACAAGCAAUGAGCUGAAAAAAAAAAGUGAAUGCCUGCAGUUAAAAAUUUUGGUGCUUCAAAAUGAACUGGAACGGCAGAAGAAAGCUUUGGGACAGGAGGUGGCAUUACUGCAUAAGCAACAAAUUGCAUUACAAGACAAAGGUGAGUGGAAAUACCAUACAAACAGCCUAACCUCCACAUCAGUGGUUCUCCUUUCUUCUUCUUCACAAGCUCAAAUAGUCAUUUUUUGUGUAAAUACAGUCACACAUCACUUAAUGACAGGGAUAUAUUCUGGAAAUGCAUCCUUUGGUGAUUUCCUUGCUGAGCUGCCAUCAUAGAGUAUGCUUACACAAGCCCAGAUGGUAUAAACUACUACACACCUAGGCUAUAUGGUAUAGCCUCUGGCUCUUAGGCUAUAAAUUUGUACAGCAUGUUACCAUACUGAAUACUGUAGGCAACUAUAACACAAUGGUGAGUAUUUAUGUAUCU
rnacentral:sRNA from 1 species